ensembl:lncRNA
UCCCCAGCCAGGGAUUGACUCCACACCACAGCAGCAACAAAGCUGGAUCCUUAACCAGAUGUGCCACCAAGGAACUCCCAUGUCUGGGCAUUUCUGAAGCGGUCAUCUUGCUAAAAAUAUGGAGACCGGUCACUCAUGAAGAAAAGCUCUAGGUUAUUUCUGUUAAAUAACUCUAAGAAUAAUAGAGUAAUGAAUGUUUCAAGCUACUAGAGUAACAGAAUAUUUUUACCAAUAUAUACUAGCAUAAAACUAAUUGCUCUAUAGCCAAUAGAAAUACAGAAAUAGUUAGCAAGCCAAUUAACAAUGGGUGUGAAUAGAGGUGUCCCCAUGGCAUCAGGCUCUAUUCUUUCAGAACACAGUCAAUAAUGUGAUCUUAGAAAUAAUGACCUUUAACAGAAUCUCAUGGUUUAUGUAUUUUCUAGUGUCUAUUUUCUAUGAAGGAUGUAUCAUGAGGUUUCCACAAUGCUACAGUGAAGGCAGGAAACAUUUUUUUGAAGUGCUCAUAAACUGUGAAUAAACUGCUUUUAAUCAGACUUUUUCUUUAAAAAGAAAUAGAGACAAUAUAAAAGAGUGUAACUUUCUCACUAAAGAGAUAAAGGAAAAAGAACCUGACAGAGCAAAUCCAAACCAAUUAAGCAGAACAAAAACCAUUUUAAAGUGAAUAAAACAGAGCUGAACAUCAAAUAUAGGUCUAAUAUUGAUGUGAAUAAAUUAUGCAGCUCUAAUUGUGAAAUUUACAUAAGUAUACCAUGUCAGUUCUAAUAUAGUCAUUAUAUUUUAUUGAAAAUAUUAUUAAAAAUUCAUAUUUGGAUGGCCCUGAAUACUUGAACUGGUGGUCUUCUAUGACCAUAGGUCAUUUUGAAUAAAUUCUCAAGGAUUCAAAAAAUGCAAAAGAUUUUUAAUUAUUAAGUUCAAUGUAUUUAUUUAUUGAAGAUUCAUAAAUAAUAGUAUCAUAUAAAUAAGAAAAUAAAAGCCAGUCUUUAUUCUGUGACACAUUGUGUUAGGAACCCGUAGCAGUAGGGAAAAAAUCUACAGUUGUGAAGAUGUGCUAAAUAAUCUUUAAUAAGUAAACAAUAUAGUCUUUCUCUCAUACAUAGAGAUAAAAAAGCAAGAAAUUAUAAAAUAAAACACUGAAUUUUACUGAUUAGCCUAGAGAGCACCAUAUUUUGUGGUGGGGAGAGCAGAUAAUAAGCACUGACUCAAUGAAGAACUGUAAUUAGCUUUCCUGCAACAUGGCAAUUUAGCAAAGAAGUUGAAUAAGCUGGAUCCAAUCCCUGGAAUGAUACAGCAUUAAGAUAAGGGCUCUUGUGAUGCAUGUGAUUCUGUAAUAAAAGCCAAAGCCCAGCUAAGAAAACUUUGCAAAAUUGUUUUACAGCAUCAAAAGAAAUAAAACAGAGUGGCAGGACCCUUAUCAGGGCCUAGGACUUCAGGGUGAUUAAUUUCACAAUUUAGCUGGAGUUUAUUUGGGUAUAGAAAUAAAGGCAGAGCUGCAGGUAAGCUUUGUACAUUCAUGCUUCCCAAUUUAUUAACAACCACUCUGGAUUUUCUUUUCUGUGACUAUAACAAAACCCUGUCAAAGAAACCACUCCAAAGGAACUCCAUUUACAGACACUGGUACUCUAUGACUAGAUCAGAGUUUUGAAAAGUUCCCAGGCCAAGGAUCGAACCUGUACCACAUGACAAUGCCCCAUCCUUAACAUGCUGUGCCACCAGGGAACUCCAGGAUUGCUCUAUUUUUAACAAAUCAUUUCUCCUACUGAUGGCCCUAGACCUUAACUUGGAGAUUCCAUGACCACUUUAAACCAAUAAAAGUGAGAGACCAAAACCAUGCUACUCCUUCCUCUACUGGAACAGAGUCCCCACAAACAACAUCUCACUAUAUAGCAGUGCACAUUAGAAGACUGAAUUCUAGUGGCGUUGGUGUCAAGACGAUUGAGAAUACACUCUUGGUUAAUAAUUCAACCAUGUAAAAGUCUCUUUAAAAAUAUCUGUACACGAAAUGAUCAUAAAAAUAUAUUAAAAAGUAAAACAUGAAGCAAAAAUAUAUCACUGAAAACAGAAAAACAUAAUUUGUGAGGAUGCUUUUAAUUUUCACUGGUAAAUAAAACAAAAAUACAGGCAUCACUCAAAUAUCCUUAAGAUCUAGGUAUUUCUUAUUAUCUACAUUUUGCAUCUGAGGGCUCUAAGCAAACGUUACCUGAGAUGGGCGAAACAGAAAAUGCUCACCAUGUGCACAGCUUCCUAAACAGUUGCUUUUAUGGAUCGAGCUACUUGAAAAAUUUGCAAAUGGUAGUUCUAGCGUCUGAUAAUAUUAUUUUCCAGACAGGAUCUACAGAUAUCUUUUCCUUUUCACGUUAUCCAUAAACAGUGAGGAAACUUCAGCAACAAACCGAGGCCCAUGAUGCAGUACCAGGUCGUCUCUAAAUACUAAAUGUCUUUCCUUCUCCCCAAGUGAAGAUGACACAAGGUGGCUUUGUUUUUAAUCCCUAAAUCCUCAAAAACUCCUAUUAGCAAUUUCAGUCUCCUUCUGCUCUGUCACGUAGUAAAAAAAACCUAUACCUCUAGUGCAUAUCCAAGUUCACAGGCCAAACUCAGCUUAUUUUUCUUUUACAAGCCCUUGCAAUAAGCAGUCUAUUAUAAAGUCUUCUUCAUUAAGGCUGGCCCUAACAAAUACAGAUAAAUAACGAAACAUCCUAAAUUUCUAGAACGUAAAAGAUUUUUAAGCACAGCUGGCAUGGAGGACAUGAAGAAGGGUUCAGAGGCCAUUUGAACACAAACACAAGAAGAAAAAUCGGAUUCAUUUAGGAAAAAGAAGAGGGUUACAUGAGUUUUAGUUCUCCUCCUUCUCUCUUUUCCUUUUUAUGUUUUAAGACAAAGUUUAUUUAACAAACAAGUAUCCCCUUAGUUAUCUGAUGUGGUUAAGGUCAUAGACAAGCUUCAGACAGAUGAAAGAGGAAGACUUUUAGAAACAAAGUCAUUUUUACUUGAACUUUUUUGGGGGGAAACUGUCUAAAAACAUAUCAUAUAUUUCCUUGUUAGUGCGGUACGUGGAAAAAGUAAUGAAAAUUUUUGAUUAUUUAAAGCAUCAUCCUCCAAAGUACAUUCCAAAGUACAUUCCAAGUACACUUCCAAGUACAAGAAGUGGGAUGUUAAUGGUAUUUCAGGGAAAAAAAGUAUUCUGAGGUCAAAUGAAUUUAGGAGAUGCUGAUGUCAACUUGGAUUUUCUUAAAACAAUGGACAUUCCCAUUUUGACUGGCUAAUUGGGUAUGAAGCAUAAACCCAUAAGUCAGAGUGUGUAGUGACCCCGCAAGCACUAACAAAUGGAACGUCAAUCUUUCUCUUGUAAUCAUGGCACUGCUCCUUCACCAACUCCUUUCCGGAAGUUGAAAUAUUAGAAAGGGAGAGAGGGGAGAGGAAGGAGGCAGACAGGACAAAAGCCAAGAGCUCAGCACACCCAUAACAAGGAUUGCUUGUUUUCUCUCAUUCACAUUUCUCUCCUGUCUUCCAGCUCUUGGGGGUCACAGAUUUGGCCAGCUGUUGCUGCUUCUGCUUUUUACUGGCAUUUCUGCCACUUCCAUUCUUUGUCUGGCAAGCCAUCUACCUUCAGCUACCUUUGUAUUAGGAAAUUUUGAAGUCACAGAUAGGCUCACUGUUCUACAUGGAUAGAAAUACCAGAAAUAUAUGCAAUGGGAUAAAUGGAGACAACAGAUUAAAGAUUAUUUUCAGUGGGAGGUCAUUUAUCUGUGUGUGUUAGCCCCCGUCCCCAUCACUAGUAUUAGAGAAAAGAAUGAAUAGGAAAAAUGAGACAGCCAAGAUGAAUUUAGGCACAUUUAAAAAAAAUAUUUUGCCCUCUACACGUGAGAAAUUCGAACAAAACAGAUGACUCUGUAAUAACUUUCCACAGCAAGUUAGUACUAAUCAUUCACAUCAUUUAUAAUCAAGGGAGGACGUUAAGAGUCUCUUUCAAUACUCUCCAAAUUAUUUCAAAUAUUGGUUUGAUUUUAAUUAAUAAAUAAAUGAAGUCUGAGUAAAAAAUUCUAUUUCUACAGUAAAAAAAGACAACAGUGCAAAUACAGCCAAUCUCAUUUGCAUAUGAUUUUAUGAUGUUACAUACAGGUUUCUAGGUGGCAGUAAAAGUGAUAGUUAAGAACAGAAAAUUAGAAUUCCUAAGACCUGAAGCUAAAGAAAAAAAAAAAAAAA